rnacentral:hammerhead_ribozyme from 1 species
AUCCAGUUGGUGAGUCCCAAAUAGGACGUAACACGCUUUCUGGAU